rnacentral:rRNA from 1 species
AGUGGCGGACGGGUGAGUAACGCGUGGGUAACCUGCCUUGUACAGGGGGAUAACAGUUGGAAACGACUGCUAAUACCGCAUAAGCCCACGGGUCGGCAUCGACCAGAGGGAAAAGGAGCAAUCCGCUUUGAGAUGGCCUCGCGUCCGAUUAGCUAGUUGGUGAGGUAAUGGCCCACCAAGGCAACGAUCGGUAGCCGGACUGAGAGGUUGAACGGCCACAUUGGGACUGAGACACGGCCCAGACUCCUACGGGAGGCAGCAUG